AGCAGCUCCCUCUCUCACUCAGCCAUAAUCCCUGCUGGUUUUCACAGCCAGAAGUUAUGGGGACUUCUCUUUCUGGCUCUGGAAUCCUGGGCUGGAGGGCAUGGUUUGGAGCUGGGAUUCCUCAUUCUUCAAAGGGGACCUCCACAGCUGAGAUGCCCUUCCCCAUUUUUAACUGCACAGGUAGGUGUGGGACCAGCUUGCUUGUUCCAUGUCUCUGUGCUUUCUACCAGUCUUUGCAUGGCUGCUUUUUUAUAUCCUUAGUUAUAGGACUUCUGGUCAGCUAGACUUCAGGUGGUUCUCAAUGAUGGUUGUUCUGUAGUUUAAUUGUAAUUUUGAUGUGAUCAUGGGAGAAGGCAAGUACAGCAUUUAUCUACACUGCAGUCUUGACCAGAAAGAAGCCUUUCCUAAUUCUUCCAUUGCUGCCCUUCCAAGUUUCAACCUUCUCUUGAUUUCAUGGCUGUAGUCUCCAUUUGGAAGGCAGCUAUGCUCACCACUAUACCACCAACGCUGUAGUCUCCAUUUGAGUUGAUGACUGAACCAAAAAAGUCCUGCAGAGUCCAGUGCAAGGGUCUGCUCUGUGAAGUCUUCUUCAAGUUGAGAGUAAAUGUUUGGGGAAUUAUGAGGAAUAGAACUGGACUACAACUUCAAUAGUAAUGACUACUAUUUAUGGAGAAACUACUGUGUGACAGUCACCAUUAUGAACACUGCGAACACUAAAAGCAGAUGAUUAAGAACAUGAGCUUUGGUGGUAGAGUCCCAGCUCUGCUGUUUACUAGCUGUGUAACCUUGGACAAGUUAUUUCCAAUCUCAGUGUCAGUUAAGUCUGACAGUUAAAUGUGCUUCUCUAAUGGAAAGUAAGCAAUAAAUGGUGGUUACUGCCACCGUAAAUGGAAAGUAAGCAAUAAAUGGUUGUUGCUGCCACCUCCUCACCCCUUGUGAGAUAGUAAAUAUAUCAUCAUGCAUGUUUUUCAAAUGAUGAAACUGAGGCUUAGGGAGUCUGGGUAACUUGUACUGCUUCCCGGAACACAUGACUCUGGGAUUUGUGGCUUACUCGUCUUUUUAUUCUAUAGUGUCUUUAAACUCAGUAAGUAUUUAUUGCAUUUAAAAAUGUAUCUGGAACUCCAGGGUCAGAUUGAAAGAAAAAUUUAGAAAUUGUUACCUGCAUAGAGUGGUAAUUGAAGUUGUUCUCUUAAGUCCUGCCAUCUUUGAGAGUCCACGCAUUUCAACCACCCCUUCAGCAGUGAGCUACAUAGUGCCAUGUGGCAGAUGGCAGUGAUCUUCAACUGUUACUUAAAUCUUUUUAAAAUUUGUUUGUAUUUGUCUUCUUUCCCCAACUGGUUUGUAAGCUCUUUGAGGGCAGAAGACCGUACUGUGUACUACUAUGUAUAUUAACUCCUGCUCCCUUAAAGUCGUUUUGUUUACUAAGAUAAUAGGUCAAACUUCAGUAAAAGUUAAUCUCAAAAAGGAAUUCUUAAACAGUGACCAACCAAGAUUAUUUUGUUAAUCUCUACUUUCUAUUAUCUGAAUUAAGAAAACUUUGCUUACAUUUUCCAAAUAAAAUUUAUUAAACUU